CUUGGUCAUUUAGAGGAAGUAAAAGUCGUAACAAGGUCUCCGUUGGUGAACCAGCGGAGGGAUCAUUACCGAGUUUACAACUCCCAAACCCAAUGUGAACCAUACCAAACUGUUGCCUCGGCGGGGUCACGCCCCGGGUGCGUCGCAGCCCCGGAACCAGGCGCCCGCCGGAGGGACCAACCAAACUCUUUCUGUAGUCCCCUCGCGGACGUUAUUUUUACAGCUCUGAGCAAAAAUUCAAAAUGAAUCAAAACUUUCAACAACGGAUCUCUUGGUUCUGGCAUCGAUGAAGAACGCAGCGAAAUGCGAUAAGUAAUGUGAAUUGCAGAAUUCAGUGAAUCAUCGAGUCUUUGAACGCACAUUGCGCCCCCUGGUAUUCCGGGGGGCAUGCCUGUCCGAGCGUCAUUGCUGCCCUCAAGCACGGCUUGUGUGUUGGGCUCCGUCCCCCCGGGGACGGGCCCGAAAGGCAGCGGCGGCACCGAGUCCGGUCCUCGAGCGUAUGGGGCUUUGUCACCCGCUCUGUAGGCCCGGCCGGCGCCAGCCGACAACCCAUCAUCCUUUUCAGGUUGACCUCGGAUCAGGUAGGGAUACCCGCUGAACUUAAGCAUAUCAAUAAGCGGAGGA
rnacentral:rRNA from 1 species